rnacentral:tRNA from 1 species
UCUAAUAUGGCAGAUUAGUGCGUUGGACUUAAACUCCAUUAAUAAAGUCAUUAACUUUUUUUAGAA